GCCUUUUUAAUACAUUUUAAUAUAGUUGACUUCCAAUCAACCAAAUCUGGUAACUCAACCCAGAAAAAGGUA
rnacentral:tRNA from 1 species